AGAGUUUGAUCAUGGCUCAGAUUGAACGCUGGCGGUAGGCUUAACACAUGCAAGUCGUGCGAGAAAGUAUCUUCGGAUAUGAGUAGAGCGGCGGACGGGUGAGUAACGCGUAGGAAUCUACCUAGUAGAAGGGGAUAGCCCGGGGAAACUCGGAUUAAUACCGUAUACCUCCUUCGGGAGAAAGAAGGCCUCUCUUUGAAGCUUUCGCUAUUAGAUGAGCCUGCGUAAGAUUAGCUUGUUGGUGAGGUAAAGGCUCACCAAGGCUACGAUCUUUAGCUGGUCUGAGAGGACGAUCAGCCACAUUGGGACUGAGACACGGCCCAGACUCCUACGGGAGGCAGCAGUGGGGAAUAUUGGACAAUGGGCGCAAGCCUGAUCCAGCCAUACCGCGUGUGUGAAGAAGGCCUUCGGGUUGUAAAGCACUUUAAGCAGGGAGAAAAAGUUAUAGGUUAAUACCCUAUGGCCCUGAUGUUACCUGCAGAAUAAGCACCGGCUAAUUCCGUGCCAGCAGCCGCGGUAAUACGGAAGGUGCAAGCGUUAAUCGGAAUUACUGGGCGUAAAGCGCGCGUAGGUGGUUUGUUAAGUUGGAUGUGAAAGCCCUGGGCUCAACCUAGGAACUGCAUCCAAAACUAACUCACUAGAGUACGAUAGAGGGAGGUAGAAUUCAUAGUGUAGCGGUGGAAUGCGUAGAUAUUAUGAAGAAUACCAGUGGCGAAGGCGGCCUCCUGGAUCUGUACUGACACUGAGGUGCGAAAGCGUGGGUAGCGAACAGGAUUAGAUACCCUGGUAGUCCACGCCGUAAACGAUGACAACUAGCUGUUGGGAGACUAUGUCUU
rnacentral:rRNA from 1 species